rnacentral:misc_RNA from 1 species
GAAAUGCGAUACGUAAUGCGAAUUGCAGAAUUCAGUGAAUCAUCAAAUCUUUGAACGCAAAUUGCGCUCUUGGGUAGCCCUAGGAGCACGCCUCUCUCAGUAUCGGUUCAACCUCUCUCAGCAACGUGCAUUGGUAACACAAUGCGCGUGUUGGCUGGACAAUGAGAGUCUGAGUGCUUGUCACUUAGUCUCUUGAAGUGCAUGGAGUGAUUUGAUAACUACCGAUCAGCUCUGCCUCGGCAGAUAGGCAGCCACGUGCUGUUGCUCGCUAGUGACGUGAAUAUUGGCCUGCGUGGUCUUAUUGAACGUUUAUCUUUCGAGCAAUACUCAAGUGCGGGACUGUUGAACGAUCGAGCUUAGUAGACAAAUCGCGUUGGAAGACCAUAUGAAGUUGGAAGCCUGCGUGGCAACCAGCCUCUGAUUUUUGAUCUGAGAUGAAGCGAGACAACCCCCUGAAUUUAAGC